rnacentral:rRNA from 1 species
AAGCUCGUAGUUGAAUUUCGGGAUCAAAUUGUCGGUCGUGCCUCGGUACGUACUGGCGUUAUUGGUUCCUCCCUUCUGAAGAACCGCGAUGUCAUUAAUUUGGUGUCGCGGGGAAUCAGGACUGUUACUUUGAAAAAAUUAGAGUGUUUAAAGCAGGCUCGCGCUUGAAUACAUUAGCAUGGAAUAAUGAAAUAGGACGUUUGAUUCUAUUUUGUUGGUUUCUAGGAUCGACGUAAUGAUUAAUAGGGAUAGUUGGGGGCAUUAGUAUUCAUUUGUCAGAGGUGAAAUUCUUGGAUUUAUUGAAGACUAACUACUGCGAAAGCAUUUGCCAAGGAUGUUUUCAUUAAUCAAGAACGAAAGUUAGGGGAUCGAAGACGAUCAGAUACCGUCGUAGUCUUAACCAUAAACUAUGCCGACUAGGGAUCGGAUGAUGUUAAUUUUUUAAUGACUCAUUCGGCGCCUUACGGGAAACCAAAGUGUUUGGGUUCCGGGGGGAGUACGGUCGCAAGGCUGAAACUUAAAGGAAUUGACGGAAGGGCACCACCAGGGGUGGAGCCUGCGGCUUAAUUUGACUCAACACGGGGAAACUCACCAGGUCCAGACAUAGUAAGGAUUGACAGAUUGAGAGCUCUUUCUUGAUUCUAUGGGUG